rnacentral:rRNA from 1 species
UACGGAGGGUGCGAGCGUUAAUCGGAAUUACUGGGCGUAAAGGGUGCGUAGGUGGUUUAAUAAGUUAUCUGUGAAAUUCCUGGGCUUAACCUGGGGCGGUCAGAUAAGACUGUUGGACUAGAGUAUAGGAGAGGGUAGUGGAAUUUCCGGUGUAGCGGUGAAAUGCGUAGAGAUCGGAAGGAACACCAGUGGCGAAGGCGGCUACCUGGCCUGAUACUGACACUGAGGCACGAAAGCAUGGGGAGCAAACAGG